UGCAUAGCCGACCUGAGAGGGUGAUCGGCCACACUGGAACUGAGACACGGUCCAGACUCCUACGGGAGGCAGCAGUAGGGAAUCUUCCGCAAUGGGCGAAAGCCUGACGGAGCAACGCCGCGUGAGUGAUGAAGGUCUUCGGAUCGUAAAACUCUGUUAUUAGGGAAGAACAUAUGUGUAAGUAACUGUGCACAUCUUGACGGUACCUAAUCAGAAAGCCACGGCUAACUACGUGCCAGCAGCCGCGGUAAUACGUAGGUGGCAAGCGUUAUCCGGAAUUAUUGGGCGUAAAGCGCGCGUAGGCGGUUUUUUAAGUCUGAUGUGAAAGCCCACGGCUCAACCGUGGAGGGUCAUUGGAAACUGGAAAACUUGAGUGCAGAAGAGGAAAGUGGAAUUCCAUGUGUAGCGGUGAAAUGCGCAGAGAUAUGGAGGAACACCAGUGGCGAAGGCGACUUUCUGGUCUGUAACUGACGCUGAUGUGCGAAAGCGUGGGGAUCAAACAGGAUUAGAUACCCUGGUAGUCCACGCCGUAAACGAUGAGUGCUAAGUGUUAGGGGGUUUCCGCCCCUUAGUGCUGCAGCUAACGCAUUAAGCACUCCGCCUGGGGAGUACGACCGC
rnacentral:rRNA from 1 species